AAUUAAUCCACAAAUGCACCCGGAGCCAGCGAAAACGUUUCGUAUUGGAUGCGAAUCCUUCUUUGCCCCUUCUCUCUGCACCCACCGAAACCGCCUUUUCAAGCCCUCCUCUCUCUCUCCCUCGCUCCGUCUCUCUCAUACGGUUUCUUCUCUUUAGGGUUAGGGUUUCUUAGUCGCGUCUACUUUGAAAUUUCUAAAAACAAAUGUUGCGGGUAAUUUCUUAUUUUCUUUUCAAAUUUAUUAAUAUUUCCUUCGAAGAACUUUCUAGGUCAAGCCUGGCUUGAUUCCGCUUUUCUAUGGUAAUUAAUCCUUUUUGCAUAACCUUUGCGUGUUUGCUCUUUUAUCCAUCUCUCUCUUUGGUUUUCUGUUGUUACUCGCUAUUGAUUGAGUUGAAGUACGCCUUUUUUUGGUUUUGUUAUUUCAUUCCUUGUUAUAAGGUGCUUUAUAGGUGAGAUUUUUGAUUUUGGGAUUCCUGUUUACUAGAUGCUGGAUUUUGUGUGUGAUUUAGUUAUUGUGGAUAAUAGGAUUGAAUAUCAAUUUGGGGAGUUAGAUUUUAAUAUCGAUUUGGGGAGUUAGAUUUUUGUUUGUGUUGUUGACUGGGGGAUCCGUGUACGAUUUGUCUUUUACUGGAUUUUAAUGUUAUUGUUGACGUGAGCAGGUUCUGGGAAUUUUGGUAAUAUUUUGUGAUUCGAAGCUUUUCUUAUGUCUAUGUUAUGAGAUUGUUUGGUGGCACACCUUGUCAACUGUUUUGUGCCUUUCAAUUUUUUGAGAUAUCACAUAUGAUUAAAUUAGACCAGUACAAUUAUCUUUUUCCUGCUUUGUGUGGUUAUAUUGUGAACUUCGAGUUCUUUUACUAGUCAUAAUUUUAUUUUGCCUAGUUUAGCUAUCUAUAGUCGAGGUGUGCUGGCUUCGCAUACAAAGUUUUUGCUAUUCCAUUUAUUUUGAAAUAUGUUGGGUUCCUCUCUCAUAUAUUUCCAUCCAUUUUUACGCUGCGAUAAAAAAUUAUCUGCAUAGCAAGUGGCUCCUGCUUAAGUUUUUCUAUCUACUCUCCUGGGGUGGCAGUUCUGGAAUGGAAAUGUCUAAUGUUUCUGGGCAUGGAAAUGCGGGAAACUUUUCAUUGCAAUUAACUUCUUAUAUUACUCUCUUAAUUAAUAAAUUAUUUGAAUGUUGUUGUAAGUUGCUAUUUGUUGGGUUCAUUCAUUUGUUUUUCUCAAUAAUUUCUGUCAUGUUUGGCCUCUUAGAUUCAAAGUGCUGAGAUAAACCCUGUUUGACAAGUCCACUUCUUGAACAAGUUGAAACUAUGUACAACGAAGGAGCCCCCGAAUUUUUUAUGGAUCAGGGCUUGUAUUAUCCUACUGCCACCAAUUAUGGAUACUACUGUACAGGAUUUGAAUCACCCGGUGAAUGGGAGGACCACCAUAGGAUUUUUGGUUCAGAUGGUCUGGAAAUCCAGUAUGCGGGUGCACAAACUGAAACUUUACCUUAUGUAUAUUAUACCCCUAGCUAUGGAUAUGCACAGUCUCCUUAUAACCCGUACAAUCCUUACAUACCUGGUGCUAUGAUAGGCGUUGAUGGCCCUUAUGUGGGACCACAACAGUAUUAUGCCAUGCCUUCUUAUCAGGACCCUGUAUCUUCACCUGGUUAUGUUCCUGUUGUUGUUCAACCGGAUUUCAUUCCAAACAAUUCAACAGACCCCUUGCUAGAUGCAGCAGGUGUAGCAUUUACCAAUGGACCUGAUGGAAGAAGUUCAAAACAUGGUAUUGCUUCAUCAUCUGCAGCCUUUCCCAAAUUCCAAUCAAAACCCACUUCAAAUCAGACUAAUACCAUGUCCAAGAUUUCAGAAGAGCCAAGAGUUAUUGUUGGACCUAGCAAGCAGUCUCUGACACAAGGAAGUGUUUCUUCUGGUUGUUUUCCUAUUCCGGCUUCUUCACGCAUGCAUCAGGGUAGAGUUGCUUCUGGUUCUAUUCAACCUGUUGAUAUCUUUUCCAAUGGGAAGGUCCUACCUCAUUCUAACCAAUUAAAAGUUGCUGUCCCUGUCAAUAAUGGCUUUUCUGAUUUUGGAUCAAGUGCUCCUGGAAGGGCUGCAGUGGAUAAGCUUCGAUCUAAGAUUCAUGUUGGUAGAACUCUCAAUGAUGUAAAUGGAGGUCCAGAUGCUUUGGGUGAGCAGAAUCGUGGACCUAGAACAAACAAAUCAAGGAAUCAACUGGCUGUUAAAGCUUACACAACAAACGUGGGAGAUGAUAAUGAACAAGGAAACAUUAUAAUAUACACUGAUCAGUAUAACAAGGAUGAUUUCCCAGUCGACUAUGUUGAUGCGAAAUUUUUUGUAAUAAAGUCUUACAGUGAGGAUGAUGUUCACAAGAGCAUUAAAUAUAAUGUUUGGUCAUCCACACCCAAUGGGAACAAGAAGCUGCAGAGUGCAUACGAGGAUACUCAAAAAAUGGCUCCUGGAAAUCCUAGAGCAUGCCCCAUCUUCCUAUUCUUUUCUGUAAAUGCAAGUGGUCAAUUCUGUGGUGUUGCUGAGAUGAUUGGCCCGGUUGACUUUGCAAAGGAUAUGGAUUUUUGGCAGCAAGAUAAAUGGAGCGGUAGCUUUCCUGUCAAGUGGCAUAUUAUUAAAGACGUACCAAAUUCCAGCUUUAGACACAUUAUGUUAGAGAACAAUGAGAAUAAGCCAGUGACUAAUAGCAGAGACACUCAAGAGGUAUUUGUAGGUUGAUUUUCAUGGUAGCUUGUCUUUAUGUUGUGGUGGUUUGUGUUUCAUGUUUCGCUUGCAAUUUGUUAAUUGUUUGGUCAUUGUGAUGUCUUAUAUAAAAGCAUCUUUCAAUUACGUCAUUAUUUGUGGUUGGCUGUUGGAACUUCUUUUCUCUGUGCAGUAUCUUGUUGGUUGGUUGGUUGUAUAUGGAUAAUGUUCUACUAUCUAGAACCAAGAUAUUUUGUGCAUUAUUGUCUGAAUGAUCUGUAGAUUCUCUUUUUAGUACAGUUGUAUGAUUUUUUUAGUUCCUUAUGAAUCAUGACCUUGAUUAACGCAAUGCCGCUUGGUAGUUAUGGUCUUCUAAUGUACUUGUCAUUUCCUGUAGAUAAUGUAUAAGCAAGGUGUGGAGAUACUGAAAAUAUUCAAAAGCCACAUAUCAAAGACCUCAUUAAUUGAUGACUUCAUGUACUAUGAGAAUCGUCAGAGAAUUAUGCAGGAAGAGAAAGCCAGGCUUAUAUUUAAAAGCUUUGAAACUCCAUUCUUAGUACCUGCAUCAGAUCCUGCUCACAAGUUGGAUUGUCUUGUUGAGUUAGCUCCAAAGAAAGAUGAGAAAACUAUGGAGCAGAAUAGUACUAACUGCAUGAAGAAAACUGAGGCCCCUAGCACUGAACAGGUUUCUUCAAAUUCUGAUGCUGCUGAUACCAGUGUUGAGAGUGAAAUUUCUGGGCAAACAAUAGUAAAAUCGGGAAGUGAUAUUGCAUCUGUUUUAAAGAUUGGUUCUCUUAGUAUUAAACCCAAGCACGAUGAGCCUAAACCCUCCUCAGAUGUCGCAACUUGUGUUUCUAGUUCUGAUCCUGUUGGUGUUGUCACAGUAGGAUCAAUGUCUGUCAAAGUUAAUGGAUUUGCUGAAUCUUCUGGUAUUCUAAGAGUUGGUAGUAUCCCACUUGAUCCUAGGGCGCUACAGCUUUGAAAAGGCGAUGCUAUUGCUAAUCAUCGGUCUUAGUAUGAAUCACGUGAAAGGUUUAUCAUUAGCUGGGAUCUCAUUGUGUUUGAGCAUGUUCUAAAUUGUAGUUUUUGCAUGAUAAACCUGAGCAUUUCAAUUUGGAUUUAGGCCACAGAAGUUAGAAAUUUUGAAUUUCUUGUUUUUCUUAAAUUAUUGUGAUUUUUUUAACCCCCUUGUAUGAUUCACAGGAUGCAAUUAUUUUGAUGAACUUGUGUUGAUCUCUUGGAUUUAAUUUGGGGGUUUUGUUAUUGCUACAAAAGUGCUAAUGCAAUGUAAUCAUUUUUCCUUUCAGCAUUUUAUUAAAGAUCAAAGGAUGAUUCUGUCAUUGUAACUACUCGCUAGUGUACUAUGAAUGUUAGCUCUAUUUUUGUUUAAAAAUAUAAAUUUUAGCUCUA
rnacentral:misc_RNA from 1 species